GUCAAUGGCGCGGUAUGUUUAUAGUCUUUGUUAUUGUGAAUUGUGAAGUUGGGAGUUGAGAGAAUUUGCUUUGAAUUGUAUUCAGAGCUGCAAAAUUUCGACAAUGACUUCAAGAAAGCGUUGCUACAAUGGAUGAAAACAUGCAAAACAGCAUAUGAUAUUAUUUUUCAUUUUAUUCGGCGCACUUUGUGGAUUUUUACCUGGUUCUUUAUUACAUGGCAAUGUUCAGUCGUCCAUAGAUCCAACACCGAAGGAAUAUGCAAUGUACGUGUCGUUUCUUGGUGAGAUUUGGGUGAGAGCUUUAAGACUUUUUGUUCUUCCUUUGAUUGUAUCCAGCCUGCUUUUGGCAGUCGCUGAAUUGGAGUCAAAACAGAGCGGAAAAUUGGGAAGAAGAACAUUGCUGUAUUGUCUUAUGACUACAAUGUUUGGGAAGUAAUUUGUUUAUUUGUAUUUAACCUGGAAAUGUUAACGUGAAAGAACCAGAACCGAACGAAGAAAAAGUUGAACCAAUACAUUCUGUGCUUGAUCUUACAAGAAUGUAAAUGCUUCGUUCGCAAAACUGUGCAAGUGUGGAGAUUUCCAAGUGUGGAGAUUUCCAAGUGUGUAGAUAACCCAUUCACCUUCACUAUUGUGAAACAAUAUUAAAUACAUUUAUGAUAUUAGUUGUAAAUACAUUUUAUUAUGUCAUAUGAACCAUACCAAAGAAAGCAAAGGUAAUGCUAGAAGAUCAUAAUAAGAACAUCUAGAUUUUAAAUGGAUAAGUUAAUCUGAAACGCAACCUUUACAACAAUGACCUUGAAAUAUAAAAAUUGCAAUAAACCUUCCACACUCUACUCAUCACACACUCAAUUUCACAUCUCUUUGAGACAGUGAGUGGAAGGUUUAUUGAAAUUUUUGAAUUUCAAAGUCAAAAAGAUCUUUAUUCCUUUUGAAUUUUAAAACUGCUUUAUAUUUAUGCCAAAAGUUUGCUGAGAUUUUGUUUACGAUUGUAACAUGUGACAGCCUGGGUUAUAUGUUUAUUAACAUAAAUAUCAGUCAGCCAAGCUUUUUUGAAACCAUUAUGAAUCAACAUUAACAUCAUCUGACGUCGUACAUGAACUGUUCUUAACCAAUAGAACUAUACCUCAUAUGCAUCAUGUCAUUUUAACUUUUAAAUAUGUUUAUGUGAAGAUUUCAAUUGUAGAAUGAUUAUUAUAUAUACUACUGAACAUUGUGUACAACAAGACAACUGUCAAUAAAUGAGUUGUCAAGGAAAAUGAACCUUAAGAACCAAGAAUAGCACAAAGCUUUGUUUUACACCACUGUAUAUGACAGAUCAUUCUCAUUGAAAUGCAUCAAAUUGCAAUAUUGCUACAUAAACACAAUGAGGAUGAACAUUUUGAUGUUCACGAAAACAAGAUUUAAUUAUUUAUAGAUGUUCCAAAUGUGCACAGCAAUGUAAUUAUAUCUUACAAUAGCUGCACCAGGCCUAAAUAACAUACAAUAAUAAAAAAUCUUUUGAAAAUUUCA